UACGUAGGGUGCAAGCGUUGUCCGGAAUUAUUGGGCGUAAGGAGCGUGUAGGCGGCCAGGUAGGUCUGCUGUGAAAACUCGAGGCUCAACCUCGAGACGUCGGCGGAAACCAUCUGGCUAGAGUCCGGAAGAGGAGAGUGGAAUUCCUGGUGUAGCGGUGAAAUGCGCAGAUAUCAGGAAGAACACCCGUGGCGAAGGCGGCUCUCUGGGACGGUACUGACGCUGAGACGCGAAAGCGUGGGGAGCGAACAGG
rnacentral:rRNA from 1 species